UACGUAGGUGGCAAGCGUUGUCCGGAUUUACUGGGCGUAAAGAGCGCGCAGGCGGUCGUUCAAGUCGCGUGUGAAAGCCCCCGGCUCAACUGGGGAGGGUCACGCGAUACUGAUCGACUCGAAGGCAGGAGAGGGAAGUGGAAUUCCCGGUGUAGUGGUGAAAUGCGUAGAUAUCGGUAAGGAAGACCAGUGGCGAAGGCGGCCCCCUGGUUAGAUACUGACGCUGAUACGCGAAGCG
rnacentral:rRNA from 1 species